GCUACUGGAGCCAUCACUCACUUGGGAGAGGAACUUUUCCCUUUGCUGAGGACUCCUGGACAUGGACAGCUCGUUUUAGAAGUCGGCCCAAACGUUUGGCGCCUGCUUUUCCGAGGCCUUUUCCAGCGGGAGUUUUAGAACUAAAGUCUGAAGGUCGCUGCUCACCUGCAAUGCUAUCUGCAGUGCAGAAUACUGCACCCACACCUCCUGCUGCUGCAUCGCCGAAAGAGAAAACACUCCACCUUGGUCUGCUUUCUGUGUCACAGUGAGAAAAUCUGGAGUCUAGAGCUGGCAUCAUGGUAUGCAGCAGAUGGAAGACCAUAUAAGUAUGAAGAGGGCCGCUGAGUGGGAUCAAAUGUGACAGCACAAGCUCUGUGAUGGUCAUGUGCUGAUAGAGCCGCCCUUUUGACAAGCGAUAGUGCAGAGGUGCAGCAGCCACAGCAAGCUCAGAGGACAGCGAGAUGAAUGUGCCCAUGUGGAUCAAGCUUUGGCUGGGUGGGGACCCCAACAAUGCCAGUGUUAAAGGCUUGAGAACAGAAGGAUGGGACAGGAGGAGAAGUGAUGACAGGUGCCUGUUUGUCCAUGUCUUUGAUGAAGUCCUUGGUCAGUCUCUCCAGUUCCUCCACUUCCCUCAUAUUCAGAGGAACACCUCCCCCUGGGAUAGGAACGGGUCCAGGAGGUGAAGGCUGCAGGUCUGGUGUGUUGUAUGUGCAGUUCACUUAUCAUUGAGCUUUCAACCUGAACAGAUGAAGAGGGACUAAUGAAACCAACCUGGCAUCUCUCCAAACUAUUUCCACUGUCCUACCUCGCUUUUUUCUUUUCUUCCCUCUGUGUGACUCAGUGAGGAUCCUGUGAGUCAACACCUGCUGUCACUUUCCCUCUCAUCUAUCCUUUAGCUUGGUUUUCAAUCAGUAUCCUAACGCUCUGUACCUUAGGGUUGAAAGGUCCCCUGGUCUCCAUCUCGGACAGCAAGUCAGUUAGAGAGUCAAGUUGUCUGUCGAAGCUAGUCUGUUUCUCCAUCAGUUUCUGGCAAAGGAAGACACAAAGAUAUUUACACAAAUAAAGUGAUCACGUUGAAGCAAAGGAGGGUGAGGCCACAAUGAGCCAAGAUUAAAAAG